GCUAAGCCCAAUAGCAGUGUCUAUUUCUUAUGCCAAGGAAAAAAAUGUCGCAUAACUUUUCAGUUCUAUGGCACGGAUCUAUCAGGUGGCUGGUGUUGGACCUGUGGCAAGCCAUGGUGAACUGCUUGGUGACUCUGUCCUGGACCCGUGGACAGAUUAGGGGGGAGAGCAGAUCCCAGAUUCCAGCCUGGGGCAGAUUCCACGUUCACUCUUGCUCCAAGGAAACAGUGGGCAGCUUGGAGGGGAGCUGCCAAAUUCAAAUGAUGUCUUGAGCUCUGCAGUUCCCAGAUGUGCUCUCACCAGACUAGGUUUUGUGCCACCUGCAUUAGGCCCUUCUGCUUCCAGCUGAGCUGGACAACACCAGACACUCCCUGGGCCCUUGGAACCUGUGCUUCCCAUUCUGGCAAGGCAACAAGGACAAGGGACAGGUGAGUAAGCAAAGAGGAAAAACUAACUGGCUUCUACCUCUUUUUCCUUUUGAUUUAUGAUUUGUGCUGGAUUGGGAGGGGAAAGGCAGCAGAGAAGGUUUCUACACUUUCUAGAGUGUCACUUGCCAGCAGGGGACUCUUGCUUGGGAAGGAUGUGAGCUUGGCUGCUCAGCCACUGUAGGGGUUUUUGUGUUGACCACCCCCUGUGGUGCAGGUGUGAGCUGUUACAUCACAGUCACUGGUGGUGUAUCCCCACCCUGGGAGUCCUCUGGAGCCCACCUGCCCUUCUAGAAUCCAGGGGCAGAUAUAUCAGGGAUUUUUCCCUGAAUCCUUGCUGGAAAGCAGAUGGGCUGCCCGCCCAGGCUACAGAGUA
rnacentral:lncRNA from 12 species